UGAUGACAUUCUCCGGAAUCGCUGCACCGCUGUGAUGAAAGUGUGCUUGAACCCUUUUCCAUCUGACGGCUGGGAAAAAAAAAA